AUUACGCUGGCGGAUGCUUUACACAUGCAGUCGAACGGUACAGGUCUUCGGAUGCUGACGAGUGGCGAACGGGUGAGUAAUAUAUCGGAACGUGCCCAGCUCGUGGGGGAUAACGUAGCGAAAGUUACGCUAAUACCGCAUACGAUCUACGGAUGAAAGCGGGGGAUCGCAAGACCUCGCGCGAUUGGAGCGGCCGAUAUCAGAUUAGGUAGUUGGUGGGGUAAAGGCUCACCAAGCCAACGAUCUGUAGCUGGUCUGAGAGGACGACCAGCCACACUGGAACUGAGACACGGUCCAGACUCCUACGGGAGGCAGCAGUGGGGAAUUUUGGACAAUGGACGCAAGUCUGAUCCAGCCAUUCCGCGUGCAGGAUGAAGGCCCUCGGGUUGUAAACUGCUUUUGUACAGAACGAAAAGGCUUCCAUUAAUACUGGGGGCUCAUGACGGUACUGUAAGAAUAAGCACCGGCUAACUACGUGCCAGCAGCCGCGGUAAUACGUAGGGUGCAAGCGUUAAUCGGAAUUACUGGGCGUAAAGCGUGCGCAGGCGGUUAUAUAAGACAGAUGUGAAAUCCCCGGGCUCAACCUGGGAACUGCAUUUGUGACUGUAUAGCUGAGU
rnacentral:rRNA from 1 species